rnacentral:tRNA from 1 species
GAGGACGUAGCUCAGUUGGUCAGAGUAUUGGCCUGUCACGUCAAAGGCCGCGGGUUCGAUCCCCGUCGUCCUCG